GCGAGUGAAGAGCAGGUAAAAGAACAAGAAGAUGCAGGUGGGUGCUGAGGAGGAAGAACAUUAGCGAGAUAAGCACCAGCACUCACCCAAACCAAGGAAGGAGAAGACCCAGAACACCACUGUGGCGGUCUGCAGCCUCCUGCAGAAGGGCACGUCUAAAGGCGCAAAAUCAAUCUUCAUCUUUUUCAUAAAGAGAAGAGAAACAAACCGAAGCGCUGCCGUGGAGACCAAAAUGAACAAUCAGUGAAGUGGGUCCAAAGUCUGCACUUUUCACCUUUUCACCAUCACCUCCUGUGGACGGGCUUAUCUUAGCUCAAUACAAUCAUUUCUCAGUCCAUAUCUACCACAUCUGACUUUUGACCCUGCAAAGAAGCGGCUCCUCAAACACAGAGCUUUCAAACAACCUGGUGGGAGAAGGAGAUGUCAAAGCUUUUUCUUUCUUGCUUUUACUUUGAUUAACUCCCUGUAAGAGCAUUAAAGGCAAUCAGUGUUUAGUGUGAUUAUGCAA